rnacentral:rRNA from 1 species
AUAUGGGGGGACCAUCCUCCAAGGCUAAAUACUCCUGACUGACCGAUAGUGAACCAGUACCGUGAGGGAAAGGCGAAAAGAACCCCGGCGAGGGGAGUGAAAAAGAACCUGAAACCGUGUACGUACAAGCAGUGGGAGCCCCACCACUAAGCCAGUGGUGAACUCCACAUCCGCAUCCUUUGCUGAGGAUACGGUUAACGGAGCGAAAGCGACGUUCAACCGCAAAACAAGCAGAGGGGGCUUAGUGGUGGGGUGACUGCGUACCUUUUGUAUAAUGGGUCAGCGACUUAUAUUCUGUAGCAAGGUUAACCGAAUAGGGGAGCCGGAGGGAAACCGAGUCUUAAUUGGGCGUUAAGUUGCAGGGUAUAGACCCGAAACCCGGUGAUCUAGCCAUGGGCAGGUUGAAGGUUGGGUAACACUAACUGGAGGACCGAACCGACUAAUGUUGAAAAAUUAGCGGAUGACCUGUGGCUGGGGGUGAAAGGCCAAUCAAACCGGGAGAUAGCUGGUUCUCCCCGAAAGCUAUUUAGGUAGCGCCUCGUGAAUUCAUCUCCGGGGGUAGAGCACUGUUUCGGCUAGGGGGCCAUCCCGGCUUACCAACCCGAUGCAAACUGCGAAUACCGGAGAAUGUUAUCACGGGAGACACACGGCGGGUGCUAACGUCCGUCGUGAAGAGGGAAACAACCCAGACCGCCAGCUAAGGUCCCAAAGUCAUGGUUAAGUGGGAAACGAUGUGGGAAGGCCCAGACAGCCAGGAUGUUGGCUUAGAAGCAGCCAUCAUUUAAAGAAAGCGUAAUAGCUCACUGGUCGAGUCGGCCUGCGCGGAAGAUGUAACGGGGCUAAACCAUGCACCGAAGCUGCGGCAGCGAACGUAUCACCCAAGACAACUUUACGGAGUUGACGAUUGACGGAGCGAAGCGACGUCAAAGCGUUCAUUAAAGUCGAGUUGGCUUAGGGAUACGUUCGUUGGGUAGGGGAGCGUUCUGUAAGCCUGUGAAGGUGUGUCGUGAGGCAUGCUGGAGGUAUCAGAAGUGCGAAUGCUGACAUAAGUAACGAUAAAGCGGGUGAAAAGCCCGCUCGCCGGAAGACCAAGGGUUCCUGUCCAACGUUAAUCGGGGCAGGGUGAGUCGACCCCUAAGGCGAGGCCGAAAGGCGUAGUCGAUGGGAAACGGGUUAAUAUUCCCGUACUUGGUGUUACUGCGAAGGGGGGACGGAGAAGGCUAUGUUGGCCGGGCGACGGUUGUCCCGGUUUAAGCGUGUAGGUGUGUGUUCCAGGUAAAUCCGGUUCACUUUAACACUGAGGCGUGACGACGAGGCACUACGGUGCUGAAGCAACAAAUGCCCUGCUUCCAGGAAAAGCCUCUAAGCAUCAGGUAACACGAAAUCGUACCCCAAACCGACACAGGUGGUCAGGUAGAGAAUACCAAGGCGCUUGAGAGAACUCGGGUGAAGGAACUAGGCAAAAUGGUGCCGUAACUUCGGGAGAAGGCACGCUGACACGUAGGUGAAGUGAUUUACUCAUGGAGCUGAAGUCAGUCGAAGAUACCAGCUGGCUGCAACUGUUUAUUAAAAACACAGCACUGUGCAAACACGAAAGUGGACGUAUACGGUGUGACGCCUGCCCGGUGCCGGAA